rnacentral:rRNA from 1 species
GGCCUAACACAUGCAAGUCGGGCGGUAACAGGUGUAGCAAUACAUGCUGACGAGCGGCGAACGGGUGAGUAACGCUUCGGAAUCUACCCAUGGGUGGGGAAUAACCAGCCGAAAGGUUGGCUAAUACCGCAUACGUCCUACGGGGGAAAGCAGGGGAUCGCAAGACCUUGCGCCGAUGGAUGAGCCGAAGCCGGAUUAGCUAGUUGGUAGGGUAACGGCCUACCAAGGCGACGAUCCGUAGCUGGUCUGAGAGGACGACCAGCCACACUGGGACUGAGACACGGCCCAGACUCCUACGGGAGGCAGCAGUGGGGAAUAUUGGACAAUGGGGGAAACCCUGAUCCAGCGACGCCGCGUGUGUGAAGAAGGCCUGCGGGUUGUAAAGCACUUUUAGUGGGGAUGAAAAGUUCAGGGCUAAUACCCCUGGAUCUUGACCUAACCCACAGAAAAAGCACCGGCUAACUCUGUGCCAGCAGCCGCGGUAAU